AACGAACGCUGGCGGCAUGCCUAACACAUGCAAGUCGAACGAGACCUUCGGGUCUAUUGGCGCACGGGUUCGUAACGCGUGGGAACCUUCCCUUAUGUUCGGAAUAACUCCCCGACAGGGGUGCUAAUACCGGAUAAUGUCUUCGGACCAAAGAUUUAUCGCCUUUGGAUGUUCCCGCGUUGGAUUAGCUAGUUGGUAGAGUAAAAGCCUACCAAGGCGAGUAUCCAUAGCUGGUCUGAGAGGAGGAUCAGCCACACUGGGACUGAGAAACGGCCCAGACUCCUACGGGAGGCAGCAGUGGGGAAUAUUGGACAAUGGGAGAAAGCAUGAUGCAGCACUGCCGCGUGAGUGAUGAAGGCCUUAGGGUUGUAAAGCUCUUUUAACCGGGAUGAUAAUGACAGUACCGGGAGAAUAAGCCCCGGCUAACUACGUG
rnacentral:rRNA from 1 species